GGAGAGGUGGCUGGGAGGCUAAGCGCUGGCACUGCUCUUCCAGAGGACCUGGGUUCAAUUCCCAGCACCCACA
rnacentral:tRNA from 1 species